GACGAACGCUGGCGGCGUGCUUAACACAUGCAAGUCGAACGGAGUGGCGAACGGGUGAGUAACACGUGGGUGAUCUGCCUUGCACUUCGGGAUAAGCUUGGAAACCUGGUCUAAUACCCGAUAGUUCAAGCUGGGCUCGCGGCCUAUGCGCUUGUGGGUGGGGUAAUGGCCUAGCAAGGCGUCGACGGGUAGCCGGCCUGAGAGGGUGUACGGCCAAAUUGGGACUGAGAUACUGCCCAGACUCCUACGGGAGGCAGCAGUGGGGAAUAUUGCACAAUGGGCGGAAGCCUGAUGCAGCGACGCCGCGUGGGGGAUGAAGGCCUUCGGGUUGUAAACUCCUUUCGACAGGGACGCGGUACCUGUAUAAGAAGCACCGGCUAACUACGUGCCAGCCGCCGCGGUAAUAC
rnacentral:rRNA from 1 species